AAAACAACAACAUAUGUUCUGGGGUAUUAGCAGGGAGAGACCAUGGGUUGAGUUACUGGGGAUAGCUCUUCUGAGGAUAUGUGGAAUGAGGGCCUUGAAGGAUGACAAGGACCUUACUAACAGAUAAAGGAGAAUUCCUUCCAUUUUUUCCAUCUUCCACCAAACACAGGAGUAAAGAAUUUUUACUUCUUUCCAUUUCAUUGAUUCGAAAAAACUUGGUGGUUGAGUGGGUUGAAUGGAGAGGGAUUCCAUUACUAUCAAAGUGACCCAUCCACUAUCUCUGCCAAAAUAAAAGAGUCUGACAUAACUGAAAUGACUGAACAACAUAUUUGAGGGUGCAGCGGACGAGCGAGGAUGGUCAGAAGAUGACAGGGAUGAAGGGCUGUGUUUCAUUAAAAAAAAUAUUGCUGUUAAUCACCACUCUAUUCUUUUCAAAGUCACUGUGGAAAGAAACUCCUUUUUCAUUUGAGCCCAAGAUGAAACCUCAAGAUGGGUGCCCAAAUCGGAUUUCUUGCCUCAGCCUCUGCAUGCAUCGUCUUUCUUCCCUCAUUAAGAGACUGAAUUAGGAUUGUAAUUAAUAGAGCAAGAAUGUGUGCCUGUGUAGAGGCCGCUAGAUUCCUUCCUUUAUGCCCGCUUAAAUUCCAACUUACAUAAAUGCUUCCUAUGGAAAUAGAAAGGGCGCUCACCCGCUCAUAUGUGCCGAUGGAAGCGUGCUCGUGAGCACCAUAAAAAGAAAGGAAAUGUGAAAGAACCAAAUCAGAUUAAACUAUUUUUACUUAAACUAAUUUGUUUGGACAGUUUUAACACUUGAAACAUUUAUAUUUCCAUACUUUAUCCAA